rnacentral:rRNA from 1 species
AUUGAACGCUGGCGGCAUGCUUUACACAUGCAAGUCGAACGGCAGCGCGGGCUUCGGCCUGGCGGCGCGUGGCGAACGGGUGAGUAAUGCAUCGGAACGUGCCCAGUAGUGGGGAUAGCCCGGCGAAAGCCGGUUUAAUACCGCCUACGUCCUGAGGGUGACAGCGGGGGACCGAAAGGCCUCGUGCUAUUGGAGCGGCCGAUGUCGGAUUAGCUAGUUGGUGGGGUAAAGGCUUACCAAGGCGACGAUCCGUAGCUGGUCUGAGAGGACGAACAGCCACACUAGGACUGAGACACGGACCAGACUACUACGGGAGGCAGCAGUGGGGAAUGUUGGACAAUGGGGGCAACCCUGAUCCAGCCAUGCCGCGUGCGAGAAGAAGGCCUUCGGGCUGUAAACCGGGUUUGUUCGGGAAGAAAUCCUCUGGGCUAAGACCACGGGGGGAUGACGGUACCGGAAGAAUAAGCACCGGCUAACUACGUG